CGUACCCUUUAUAAGGUCCCUGGCGGCGGCCUGUGCUCUCUUUCCUCCUGCGGCUGGGUGAGUGAUGGGUGCGGCUUUGUGUGCUCUCACCAAGCACGUUUGUUGUCUGAAUAGAGUCAGUUCUAUAUAAACCCCUUCAACGCCCACUGGAAGCCCCUCCAUGCUCCACAGUGGAUAACACAGGGGGGGAGAUCAUGAACUCUCUCAAACACAGGGAAGAGGUGUCCCCUCCUUAUCUCUGUAUCCUGUCGUGAGCUACACCAGGCCCAGUGUCUCCUGUAAUGGUUUAUAAUGUAAAUACUGCUCUGAUAUCUACAGCUUUAUUGAUCUGCAAUGCAGUCUGGGGGCAUUAUGUGGGUGGGUGUCUUUAUUUAUUAUAUAUAUUCUCAGUUAAUGUCUCUUUGUAUGCAGUGUGUAGAGUGUCAAAAUAACCUGUAUUUUCAGUAGAAAUGCUUAUGGGCAUGAUUUUAAAACCUACAUCUGAAUUAAAUCCUUAUUUUGCUUUCUUUCUCUAUAGGAUGGACUGUAAAAACAAAAAAGCUGAACAUGCAGUGAUUGAAGUUGCUCUGCAAGUAAUAAAGGUAUUCAAUGCUCUAUAGUUUCGUAUUACACUUUUUUUUUUAUAAAUAAACCUGAUUGAAAAUUUGGGAAUAGAAGUUGGAUGUUUUUGAGAUCCUUUCCCUUCUGCUUUGCUCACUUUAAGACUUUCUAUUUUUAAAGUGACCAAUAUAGGGGGGUAUACUAAAUGCUCCAUAAAACUCAAAGUACAGGUUUAUGUUUUGUGCUUUGAAUCCUGUCUGGAGCUAUAUUUUUUUUUGGGAAGUGUAUUUAUACUUAUCACUUGGCUUGAGUUGUGCAGCAAACAACUUAAAUGGAUGCUUUAGUCACCAGAACCACUACAGCUUAAUGUAGUGGUUCCGGUGUCUCUAGCAUGUCCCUACAGCAUUUGCACUAUAAACACUGCCUUUUCAGAGACAUGGCAGUGUUUAUAUUGCUGGCUAUUUACACAUCUAGUGGCAUUCACCCAGAUGGCCAUGAGAGGUGCUUCUUGUGUUAGUGUUGCAAUGUGCAGUACUGGCAUUGUGCUCCUCCACUCAGAGUAUGGCGAUGCUGACUAUAGCAAUGCAGUGUUGCUGCGCAUGCACAAUAACCUUUCAAAAAAUUUUAUGAGAGCAUUUGCUUGGGUGAAAUUUUUAACAUCACCUACGGAGGAGAGGCCUGCUGCAGAGAUUUCAGUGUGGGAGAAAAGUCUAGUAAAGCACGUGGUGUGGCCCUUUAGAUCCCUGGCCCCCAGCACUAUAGUGUCAGGAAUAUUAUUCCUGAGGCUAUAUAGUGUUCCUUUAACUCGUGUUUGUCUCUGCUCUAUUUGGAGCAUGAGAAGCCUUCAAAAUUUGAAGGAUAUAAAUUUAUUUUAAUCUGAUUAUACCAACUUGGUUUUAAAAUGGUUAAGUAACAGUGCUUAGUCAGUAACUGUCAGUUUCUGACCUCUGUCCAAUGUGUAGAGAAUCUCUGGGUACCGGUAACACAUGCAUGGCUGUUGCCAUGGUCUGGCACUUUCAGAGAAUCGUUGAAUCCAGUGCUUCUCAGACUGAUUACCAGCUUUCUGCUGUAUGUAGAUCUGAAGUUCUACAAUUUUGAAGGUCCUCCAAAACCAGUUAAUGUCACUACAGUGUUGUGCCCAGAGUCCAGACAUCUUAACUCUGGUUAAUUUUUGUACAGUUUAACAUCAUGGGGAGUACUCUCUGAAUGGGGCUGGCCAUCUACCUUAAGGAAUGAGGAUAACUAAGCAAAUUUAAUCUGCCUUUUGGCAGACUAGGGAAGUUGUUUUCAAAUAGCUCUAUUGAAACUGUGCUAAGAGGCACAUGUGAGAUAAAUGUUUGUUUUUUGUUUUACAGGAAGCUGGAGCUGACUCAGUGGUGCAGUUAAGUAUAAUACAGAAAGUUAUUCUUUUGUUUACUGUUCUGCAACUGACAGUUUAAAUUGCAAAGCCUGCUUUGUUAGAGGAACACUCAAAACACAACUGGUACAGCAGUAGUGGUUAUCGUGCUAUCCUAGAGUAAUCUGUCAAACUGUUUUAAAACUUUCUGAUAACUUCCUUUGGUCCCCCCUUGAUGCCUGCACUAUUUUCAGUCAUUGCCUGCAGGAUAAGCCAGUUUUUUUUCUGAACUUGGCUCAUCCAAUAAAGGGCAUUGUUUAGUGCUUUGGCAAGUUGUCAAUGUUCUAUGUCUUGACAAAUUUGUCUGGCAGUGCCUUUACUGAUGCCAGAACCACUAUAGCAGGCAAAACUAAUGUUCAAUAUUAGUCUGUAGACACUAGUAUUGACAUGUUUUGUAGAUAUUGCUUUAGUAUCCCCCUACCAUGUAGUUUAUCAAGAAGUAAACACUGUACAGCUAUCUGACCAUAUAAGCCCAAGGCAUCAUCCAAGCACUUCCACUGUGGUACAUGCUAUAUCCAAAAUGUAAUGUUCCAUCCACUUAAUUGGAGACUUAUAAUUUUUAUAUUAAUAAAGAAUUCUGGCAGUUUGGAACCGUAGAUGUCCAUAGUUUUUGAGAAUCCUGAAGGCUAGACAAACAUUUGAAUUGUAGAUUAAGUUGUCUGCCUAUAAAGUCUCCUUAAUCUCGAUGAAGCGGUCUAGGUGACCCUGUAACUGAAAACAUUGCCAUUUAGAAUCUGAUGGUGUUAAGACCUAAAUAGGUAGUUUGUACUGUUGGGAAUUCAGACAUGUUUUAGUGUUUAACUCUGUAGUACCACUAUUGGCUAAAGCUGCCUUAGACAAUCAAGGGAGGUGAGUUUGUUUUCACUGCAAAUUAUCAAUGUUUAAAUUGUAUUGUCAAAUGAAUGUUACAAAUAAAGAUGUUUAUCACUACAA
rnacentral:lncRNA from 1 species